UUUCCGUAGGUGAACCUGCGGAGGGAUCAUUACAGAGCAUCAUGCCCUUCGGGGUAGAUCUCCCACCCUGUGUAUUAUAUACCUUUUGUUGCUUUGGCGGGCCGCCUCGGCCACCGGCUCCGGCUGGUGCGUGCCCGCCAGAGGACCCAAAACUCAUAUUAUUAAUGUCGUCUGAGUACUAUAUAAUAGUUAAAACUUUCAACAACGGAUCUCUUGGUUCUGGCAUCGAUGAAGAACGCAGC
rnacentral:misc_RNA from 1 species